rnacentral:ribozyme from 13 species
CUUUUUUUUUUUUUUUUUUUUUUUUUUUUUUUUUUUCACCUGAGGCGUGCUACAGUUA